UCGUCAGGUGGGAUAAUCCUUACCUGUAACUCCUUUUGGAGGGCAGAUAAGAAAAUGAUGAUUGGAGUUUGCAUAAUGCGUGAUUAGUGUCUUUGCGUAAUCAGGUUUUGCAACACCCUGAUUGCUAAAAAAAAAA
rnacentral:snoRNA from 1 species